rnacentral:rRNA from 1 species
UACGAAGGGGGCUAGCGUUGUUCGGAGUUACUGGGCGUAAAGGGCGCGUAGGCGGCGCAUCAAGUCAGGCGUGAAAGCCCGGGGCUCAACCCCGGGUCGGCCGUGGCAACUGCUGGGCUGGAGCACAGUAGAGGCGGGUGGAAUUCCGGGUGUAGCGGUGGAAUGCGUAGAGAUCCGGAAGAACACCAGUGGCGAAGGCGGCCCGCUGGGCAGUGGCUGACGCUGAGGCGCGACAGCGUGGGGAGCAAACAGG